GACGAACGCUGGCGGCGUGCUUAACACAUGCCAGUCGAACGGAAAGGCCCUGCUUUUGUGGGGUGCUCGAGUGGCGAACGGGUGAGUAACACGUGAGUAACCUGCCCUUGACUUUGGGAUAACUUCAGGAAACUGGGGCUAAUACCGGAUAGCAGCCCCUGCUGCAUGGUGGGGGUUGGAAAUUUUCGGCGGUAGGGGAUGGACUCGCGGCUUAUCGGCUUGUUGGUGGGGUAGUGGCUUACCAAGGCUUUGACGGGUAGCCGGCCUGGGAGGGUGACCGGCCACAUUGGGACUGAGGUACGGCCCAGACUCCUACGGGAGGCAGCAGUGGGGAAUAUUGCACAAUGGGCGGAAGCCUGAUGCAGCAACGCCGCGUGCGGGAUGACGGCCUUCGGGUUGUAAACCGCUUUCGCCUGUGACGAAGCGUGAGUGACGGUAAUGGGUAAAGAAGCACCGGCUAACUACGUG
rnacentral:rRNA from 1 species